rnacentral:rRNA from 1 species
AGGGUGUAAACGCUGCAGACUUGGUGUUGGAAAUCCUUCGAGGGUAUUCAGUGCCGGAGAGAAGUUGUUAAGUCUGCUACUUGGGGAGUACGUCCGCAAGGAUGAAACUUAAAGGAAUUGGCGGGGGAGCACAACAACGGGUGGAGCCUGCGGUUUAAUUGGACUCAACGCCGGAAAACUCAUCGGGAGCGACAGCAGUAUGAUUGCCAGGUUGAUGACCUUGCUUGACAAGCUGAGAGGUGGUGCAUGGCGUAGUCGUGU